GACGAACGCUGGCGGCGUGCUUAACACAUGCAAGUCGAACGGAAAGGCCCCUUUUGGGGUACUCUAGUGGCGAACGGGUGUGUAACACGUGAGUAACCUGCCCUUGACUUCGGGAUAACUUCAGGAAACUGGGGCUAAUACCGGAUAGGAAUCCUUGCUGCAUGGUGGGGGUUGGAAAGCUUCGGCGGUUUUGGAUGGACUCGCGGCGUAUCAGCUUGUUGGUGGGGUAGUGGCUUACCAAGGCUUUGACGGGUAGCCGGCCUGAGAGGGCGACCGGCCACACUGGGACCGAGAGACGGCCCAGACUCCUACGGGAGGAAGAAGUGGGGAAUAUUGCACAAUGGGCGGAAGCCGGAUGAAGAAACGCCGCGUGCGGGAUGACGGCCUUCGGGUUGUAAACCGCUUUCAGCAGGGGAGAAGCUUGUGGUGACGGUACCUGCAGAAGAAGCACCGGCUAACUACGUG
rnacentral:rRNA from 1 species